rnacentral:rRNA from 1 species
CCGAAUUCGUCGACAACAAAGUUUGAUCCUGGCUCAGGACGAACGCUGGCGGCGUGCUUAACACAUGCAAGUCGAACGCUGAAGCUCCAGCUUGCUGGGGUGGAUGAGUGGCGAACGGGUGAGUAAUACGUGAGUAACCUGCCCUUGACUCUGGGAUAAGCCUGGGAAACCGGGUCUAAUACUGGAUACGACGUCCCAUCGCAUGGUGGGGUGUGGAAAGGGUUUUACUGGUUUUGGAUGGGCUCACGGCCUAUCAGCUUGUUGGUGGGGUAAUGGCCUACCAAGGCGACGACGGGUAGCCGGCCUGAGAGGGUGACCGGCCACACUGGGACUGAGACACGGCCCAGACUCCUACGGGAGGCAGCAGUGGGGAAUAUUGCACAAUGGGCGCAAGCCUGAUGCAGCGACGCCGCGUGAGGGAUGACGGCCUUCGGGUUGUAAACCUCUUUCAGCAGGGAAGAAGCCACAAGUGACGGUACCUGCAGAAGAAGCGCCGGCUAACUACGUGCCAGCAGCCGCGGUAAUACGUAGGGCGCAAGCGUUGUCCGGAAUUAUUGGGCGUAAAGAGCUCGUAGGCGGUUUGUCGCGUCUGCUGUGAAAGCCCGGGGCUCAACCCCGGGUCUGCAGUGGGUACGGGCAGACUAGAGUGCAGUAGGGGAGACUGGAAUUCCUGGUGUAGCGGUGAAAUGCGCAGAUAUCAGGAGGAACACCGAUGGCGAAGGCAGGUCUCUGGGCUGU